ensembl:snRNA U6 U6 spliceosomal RNA
GUGCUCAUUUGGCAGUACAUAUACUAAAGUUGAAAUGAUACAGAGGUUAUCAUGCCCUUUGCACAAGGAUGACAUGGAAAUUCAUGAAGUGUUCCACUAAAAA